rnacentral:rRNA from 1 species
UUCCUACGGGAGGCAGCAGUCGGGAAUAUUGCGCAAUGGAGGAAACUCUGACGCAGUGACGCCGCGUAUAGGAAGAAGGUCUUCGGAUUGUAAACUAUUGUCGUUAGGGAAGAAAAAGGACAGUACCUAAGGAGGAAGCUCCGGCUAACUACGUGCCAGCAGCCGCGGUAAUACGUAGGUGGCAAGCGUUGUCCGGAAUUACUGGGUGUAAAGGGAGCGUAGGCGGGAAGCCAAGUCAGCUGUGAAAACUACGGGCUUAACCUGUAGACUGCAGUUGAAACUGGCUUUCUUGAGUGAAGUAGAGG